GGGAGUAUAGCUCAAUCGGCAGAGCAGUGGACUCAUAAUCCAUUGGUUCCAGGUUCGAGUCCUGGUACUCCCA
rnacentral:tRNA from 1 species